GGAUCGGUAGAUCAGUGGUAGAUCGUGGGAUUGCAGUCUGGCUCGCAAUAUAUCCUAAGGUCACGUGUUCGAACCACGUUCGGUCCU